GGGUCUGUGGCUCGGUGGUAGAGCACUUGCUUUCCAUGCAAAAGGUUCCUGGUUCCAUCCCCAGCAUCUCCA